rnacentral:tRNA from 3 species
GACACUUUGGCCGAGUGGUUAAGGCGAUGCCCUGCUAUCGACAGGUAUCAUAGGCAUUGUGUUCGCACGCGCAGGUUCGAAUCCUGCAGGUGUCG